ensembl:lncRNA
AGCUCACCCAGAGAGACUGAGGCACUGGCAAGGGAGCCAAGUCCAAACAGGCCAAGUCUGGGCCCAUAAGGAUAACAAUCCAGAGGGGCUGCAGACCUGUGGGGGACUGAGAAUCUGCUGCUGCUGCUAAGUCGCUUCAGUCGUGUCCGACUCUGUGUGACCCCAUAGACGGCAGCCCACCAGGCUCCCCCGUCCCUGGGAUUCUCCAGGCAAGAACACUGGGAGAAAACUGAAGCACAGAGCGGUUAAGUGACUGGUCUAAAGUCAUACAGCUACCAAGUGGCAGAACUGAUAUUGAAACUCAGGCUCUCUGCUCUCCUGCUCUUUUCCAUCUUUCUCCUUAGCCCCUAGUUUUAGAAGUUGAAGCAAGCUGGGGGAGGCUGAUUUAAGAAUAAGCCCCCUCCCACCACCAAUCUCUGUCCCCCCUGACCCCAGCAGGCCUAAGGUGGGUGCCUAGGCACAGAAAGGAUACAUUAUGUCAGCAGCUACAC